UACAGAGGGGCAAGCGUUGUUCGGAAUUACUGGGCGUAAAGGGCGCGUAGGCGGCCCGCUAAGUCGAACGUGAAAUCCCCGAGCUCAACUCGGAACUGCGUCCGAUACUGGCGGGCUUGAAUCCGGAGAGGGAUGCGGAAUUCCAGGUGUAGCGGUGAAAUGACGUAGAUAUCUGGAGGAACACCGGUGGCGAAGGCGGCAUCCUGGACCGGCAUUGACGCUGAGGCGCGAAAGCUAGGGAGCAACGGG
rnacentral:rRNA from 1 species